rnacentral:rRNA from 1 species
AAUGAACGCUGGCGGUAGGCCUAACACAUGCAAGUCGAACGGCAGCACCGUAAGAGCUUGCUCUUACGGGUGGCGAGUGGCGGACGGGUGAGGAAUACAUCGGACUCUACUUUUUCGUGGGGGUUAACGUAGGGGAACUUACGCUAAUACCGCAUACGACCUACGGGUGAAAGCAGGGGAUCUUCGCACCUUGCGCGGUUGAAUGAGCCGCUGUCGGAUUAGCUAGUUGGCGGGGUAAAGGCCCACCAAGGCGACGAUCCGUAGCUGGUCUGAGAGGAUGAUCAGCCACACUGGAACUGAGACACGGUCCAGACUCCUACGGGAGGCAGCAGUGUGGAAUAUUGGACAAUGGGCGCAAGCCUGAUCCAGCCAUACCGCGUGGGUGAAGAAGGCCUUCGGGUUGUAAAGCCCUUUUGUUGGGAAAGAAAAGCAGCAGGUUAAUACCCCGCUGUUCUGACGGUACCCAAAGAAUAAGCACCGGCUAACUACGUG